UACGUAGGGUGCAAGCGUUGUCCGGAUUUAUUGGGCGUAAAGAGCGUGUAGGCGGCCAUACAGGUCAGCUGUGAAAACUCGAGGCUCAACCUCGAGACGUCGGUUGAAACCGUAUGGCUAGAGUCCGGAAGAGGAGAGUGGAAUUCCCGGUGUAGCGGUGAAAUGCGCAGAUAUCGGGAAGAACACCCGUGGCGAAGGCGGCUCUCUGGGACGGUACUGACGCUGAGACGCGAAAGCGUGGGGAGCGAACAGG
rnacentral:rRNA from 1 species